UUGAAGAGAGAAAGAGAAAGUCGUUAGCGCCCCUGAACUGCUUUCCUCCCAUCUGUGCUACCUGUGAGGGGCGGGGGCACUCUGCACACAUGCUUUCAGGACAGUCGCCUGACCUGCUCGGCUUCACUCCUCACAUGCCCAGGUUCAAAUCCAGACUCUCCCUUCAUCUCCCUUCACACAGGAUAAGGGAUGAAGAGUGAACAGAAAACCAAGGAACUUUGUGGAACUGUCAAAUGAGAAACAAACAUGACCCAUAUUGUGGCCAUGAUUCCAGAGGUGGUUGUGUCAAAAUGUACCCGUCUGUGGCUAACAACUCGAGGACCACUUUCAAAAACAAGAAGAAUGUAUGAACACAGAAGGCAAUCAGAAUUUUACUCUUUUCUUACUCUAAAAUAUAAAUAUAAAUAAAUAAAAAACCACUCUGAAAUUCUAAGUAAAUAAAUAAUGUUUAAAACCCCCA